GCUCAGAUUGAACGCUGGCGGCAGGCCUAACACAUGCAAGUCGAGCAGGUAGCACAGAGAGCUUAGCUCUCGGGUGACGAGCGGCGGACGGGUGAGUAAUGUCUGGGAAACUGCCUGAUGGAGGGGGAUAACUACUGGAAACGGUAGCUAAUACCGCAUAAUGUCGCAAGACCAAAGUGGGGGACCUUCGGGCCUCAUGCCAUCAGAUGUGCCCAGAUGGGAUUAGCUAGUAGGUGGGGUAACGGCUCACCUAGGCGACGAUCCCUAGCUGGUCUGAGAGGAUGACCAGCCACACUGGAACUGAGACACGGUCCAGACUCCUACGGGAGGCAGCAGUGGGGAAUAUUGCACAAUGGGCGCAAGCCUGAUGCAGCCAUGCCGCGUGUGUGAAGAAGGCCUUCGGGUUGUAAAGCACUUUCAGCGGGGAGGAAGGCGUUAAGGUUAAUAACCUCAUCGAUUGACGUUACCCGCAGAAGAAGCACCGGCUAACUCCGUGCCAGCAGCCGCGGUAAUACGGAGGGUGCAAGCGUUAAUCGGAAUUACUGGGCGUAAAGCGCACGCAGGCGGUCUGUCAAGUCGGAUGUGAAAUCCCCGGGCUCAACCUGGGAACUGCAUUCGAAACUGGCAGGCUAGAGUCUUGUAGAGGGGGGUAGAAUUCCAGGUGUAGCGGUGAAAUGCGUAGAGAUCUGGAGGAAUACCGGUGGCGAAGGCGGCCCCCUGGACAAAGACUGACGCUCAGGUGCGAAAGCGUGGGGAGCAAACAGGAUUAGAUACCCUGGUAGUCCACGCCGUAAACGAUGUCGAUUUGGAGGUUGUGCCCUUGAGGCGUGGCUUCCGGAGCUAACGCGUUAAAUCGACCGCCUGGGGAGUACGGCCGCAAGGUUAAAACUCAAAUGAAUUGACGGGGGCCCGCACAAGCGGUGGAGCAUGUGGUUUAAUUCGAUGCAACGCGAAGAACCUUACCUGGUCUUGACAUCCACAGAACUUUCCAGAGAUGGAUUGGUGCCUUCGGGAACUGUGAGACAGGUGCUGCAUGGCUGUCGUCAGCUCGUGUUGUGAAAUGUUGGGUUAAGUCCCGCAACGAGCGCAACCCUUAUCCUUUGUUGCCAGCGGUUAGGCCGGGAACUCAAAGGAGACUGCCAGUGAUAAACUGGAGGAAGGUGGGGAUGACGUCAAGUCAUCAUGGCCCUUACGACCAGGGCUACACACGUGCUACAAUGGCAUAUACAAAGAGAAGCGACCUCGCGAGAGCAAGCGGACCUCAUAAAGUAUGUCGUAGUCCGGAUUGGAGUCUGCAACUCGACUCCAUGAAGUCGGAAUCGCUAGUAAUCGUAGAUCAGAAUGCUACGGUGAAUACGUUCCCGGGCCUUGUACACACCGCCCGUCACACCAUGGGAGUGGGUUGCAAAAGAAGUAGGUAGCUUAACCUUCGGGAGGGCGCUUACCACUUUGUGAUUCAUGACUG
rnacentral:rRNA from 1 species